UACAGAGGUCCCAAGCGUUGUUCGGAUUUAUUGGGCGUAAAGCGUCCGCAGGUGGCACUUCAAGUCUGUCGUCAAAGACUGGGGCUUAACCCUGGAAAGGCGGUGGAAACUGAAGCGCUAGAGUGUGGUAGGGGUAGAGGGAAUUCCCGGUGUAGCGGUGAAAUGCGUAGAGAUCAGGAAGAACACCGGUGGCGAAAGCGCUCUGCUGGACUGCAACUGACAUUGAGGGACGAAAGCUAGGGGAGCGAAUGGG
rnacentral:rRNA from 1 species